rnacentral:rRNA from 1 species
GGCAGGCCUAACACAUGCAAGUCGAGCGGUAGAGAGAAGCUUGCUUCUCUUGAGAGCGGCGGACGGGUGAGUAAUGCCUAGGAAUCUGCCUGGUAGUGGGGGAUAACGUUCGGAAACGGACGCUAAUACCGCAUACGUCCUACGGGAGAAAGCAGGGGACCUUCGGGCCUUGCGCUAUCAGAUGAGCCUAGGUCGGAUUAGCUAGUUGGUGGGGUAAUGGCUCACCAAGGCGACGAUCCGUAACUGGUCUGAGAGGAUGAUCAGUCACACUGGAACUGAGACACGGUCCAGACUCCUACGGGAGGCAGCAGUGGGGAAUAUUGGACAAUGGGCGAAAGCCUGAUCCAGCCAUGCCGCGUGUGUGAAGAAGGUCUUCGGAUUGUAAAGCACUUUAAGUUGGGAGGAGGUGUAGAUUAAUACUCUGCAAUUUUGACGUUACCGACAGAAUAAGCACCGGCUAACUCUGUGCCAGCAGCCGCGGUAAUACAGAGGGUGCAGCGUUAAUCGGGAUACUGGGCGUAAAGCGCGCGUAGGUGGUUUGUUAAGUUGGAUGUGAAAUCCCCGGGCUCAACCUGGGAACUGCAUUCAAAACUGACUGACUAGAGUAUGGUAGAGGGUGGUGGAAUUUCCUGUGUAGCGGUGAAAUGCGUAGAUAUAGGAAGGAACACCAGUGGCGAAGGCGACCACCUGGACUAAUACUGACACUGAGGUGCGAAAGCGUGGGGAGCAAACAGGAUUAGAUACCCUGGUAGUCCACGCCGUAAACGAUGUCAACUAGCCGUUGGAAGCCUUGAGCUUUUAGUGGCGCAGCUAACGCAUUAAGUUGACCGCCUGGGGAGUACGGCCGCAAGGUUAAAACUCAAAUGAAUUGACGGGGGCCCGCACAAGCGGUGGAGCAUGUGGUUUAAUUCGAAGCUAACGCGAAGAACCUUACCAGGCCUUGACAUCCAAUGAACUUUCUAGAGAUGGAUUGGUGCCUUCGGGAACAUUGAGACAGGUGCUGCAUGGCUGUCGUCAGCUCGUGUCGUGAAAUGUUGGGUUAAGUCCCGUAACGAGCGCAACCCUUGUCCUUAGUUACCAGCACGUAAUGGUGGGCACUCUAAGGAGACUGCCGGUGACAAACCGGAGGAAGGUGGGGAUGACGUCAAGUCAUCAUGGCCCUUACGGCCUGGGCUACACACGUGCUACAAUGGUCGGUACAGAGGGUUGCCAAGCCGCGAGGUGGAGCUAAUCCCAUAAAACCGAUCGUAGUCCGGAUCGCAGUCUGCAACUCGACUGCGUGAAGUCGGAAUCGCUAGUAAUCGCGAAUCAGAAUGUCGCGGUGAAUACGUUCCCGGGCCUUGUACACACCGCCCGUCACACCAUGGGAGUGGGUUGCACCAGAAGUAGCUAGUCUAACCUU